UGUCCUGUAUUCAUGAAACUGACAGAAAUUGGAUUACAAUAAACCGGUCGGUUAUGUGACUGCCGUAACAGGGAGAUAUGGUAGAGGUAAUGGAGACUUUGGAUUCCCAGCACAACGGUUCACUGUAGAUCGAGGGUUUCCAGUAGAUUUUCUUCAAACAGGAGUGUUCGACGUUUUAAAGCAGUAACGAACGGCAGAUGACAACUAAGCGUGAAGGAACCAUGGAGGGAGAGACCAAGCCUAUUUUUUGAACUUUCCAAAUAGUGACUGUACUUUUGGCACUAACUGUGUGUUUGUGUUAUAGCUUGUGGUCACUUUUCUUUCUGAGUUGGAAGCUCUCUUUCUCAGAAAUAUACGCAUGUAUAAAAUGUACGCCUUAUUGACCUGCAAAUAUAAACAUUGUUAUCUGUCUGGAUCACGAAUUUAACCUAUGGUUGAUUAGAAAAUAGAGCCACAUUACUUUCA